GGUGAUGGUGGGGUCAUAUGCCCAAGAGAUGUAUAGGAUUCACUGUAAAGAUGGCACAUAAAAGAGGACAUAUAUUAAUGGAGAAACCAGCUUGGAUGUAAAUAGAUGACUGAAUCUUGGUUAGAUGUUGGUCUGAUAGGAACAUACUGGUUGGUAUUAUUCCACUAAGGAAAGCAAAGAUACAAAAAAUAAGCAGUUUUUGUUGAAUAAAGAAACCCACUGGCAGACUCAGAACUCGUGAACUUGACAGCUCUCCCUCACUAUGGGGAGACCCCACAAGACUUGUUAGAAGAGCUCGUUAGGAAAACAGAUGCCUUGGCCAGAAAACAAAGGGACAGUACAAGGAAAGAGA
rnacentral:lncRNA from 1 species